rnacentral:rRNA from 1 species
AGAGUUUGAUCAUGGCUCAGAGCGAACGCUGGCGGCAGGCUUAACACAUGCAAGUCGAACGGGCGUAGCAAUACGUCAGUGGCAGACGGGUGAGUAACACGUGGGAACGUACCCUUUGGUUCGGAACAACACAGGGAAACUUGUGCUAAUACCGGAUAAGCCCUUACGGGGAAAGAUUUAUCGCCGAAGGAUCGGCCCGCGUCUGAUCAGCUUGUUGGUGAGGUAAUGGCUCACCAAGGCGACGAUCAGUAGCUGGUCUGAGAGGAUGAUCAGCCACACUGGGACUGAGACACGGCCCAGACUCCUACGGGAGGCAGCAGUGGGAACAUUGGACAAUGGGCGCAAGCCUGAUCCAGCCAUGCCGCGUGAGUGAUGAAGGCCCUAGGGUUGUAAAGCUCUUUUGGCGGGGAAGAUAAUGACGGUACUCGCAGAAUAAGCCCCGGCUAACUUCGUG